AGGUGUGGCCUGGACUACAAUAGAGCCGACCCAACCAGAGCCCACCUUAUCGCCGCAUACAAGCCGUGGUCGCCGCCGCCAUGGCCGCUCAGACUUUCAUCCUCGCCGCCGCCGCGCCGGCAGCCGCCCUCUUCCCCAGUCCAUCGUCCUCUGCUCGCCCUUUCCACUCCCUCCGACUCGUCGCCGGCCCCGGGGGCGCCGCCGCUGCCAGGGCGCUCGUCCUCGCCGACGCCACCAAGAAGGCCGUCGCCGUCCUCAAGGGCACAUCCGAGGUCGAGGGCGUCGUCACGCUCACGCAGGAGGACGACGGUCCUACAACAGUGAACGUCCGUCUCACUGGACUUACUCCUGGACUUCAUGGCUUCCACCUCCAUGAGUUUGGUGAUACUACCAAUGGGUGCAUAUCAACAGGACCACAUUUUAAUCCAAACAAUAUGACACACGGUGCACCAGAAGAUGAAGUACGUCAUGCGGGUGACCUGGGAAACAUUGUUGCCAACGCUGAAGGUGUAGCUGAGGCAACCAUUGUUGAUAAACAGAUUCCUUUGAGUGGCCCAAAUUCAGUUGUUGGAAGAGCAUUUGUCGUUCAUGAGCUUGAAGAUGAUUUGGGGAAAGGGGGCCAUGAGCUUAGCCUCAGUACUGGAAAUGCUGGUGGAAGACUGGCAUGCGGUGUGUUCUCUCUGACAUAUUUGUGAUUCUAUGAAUGUGGAUAUUUGAUAGUAAUUUUACGUAAGUAUAAAUGAGAAAGAUAUCGAAAUUUCUGAUCAGUGUCCAUUGCGAUGAUGACGGAAAUAAGCCACUGCAACAGUUUUACCUGAAGCAUUGCUGAAUAUUUGCUCUAUGCAAUGUUUCAAGCGCAUUUGUCUAAUCACUGUGUUUCUUGCGCAGGUGUUGUUGGCCUGACUCCAUUGUAGGUCGCUGGCUGUCUUGAAGUUUGGAGUGUCACUGUCACAUCCAUGCUAGCCCGUCUUCAGUCGUGCUUGGGACAGUGCCUUUUUUGUAUUACAUGGAUUUGCACCACGUGUGGGUGCUUAGUAGCCUUUGCCGAUCGGUUAUAUCAGAAAAAUAAUGUUUAGUUGAGCAAAUAAGUGUUUUCACAUAUCCUUAUCGAUCUAUGAAGCACUAUCUAUGAACAUCAGCUGUUUAUCGCUAUGAUGUUUUACCUGUACUCCAGUUAUUUUUAAAACUUCUGAAGAUCUCUGUGUUAUUGCA